UACGUAGGGCGCAAGCGUUAUCCGGAAUUAUUGGGCGUAAAGAGCUCGUAGGCGGUCUGUCGCGUCGGCUGUGAAAACCCGGGGCUCAACCCCGGGCCUGCAGUCGAUACGGGCAGACUAGAGUGCGGUAGGGGAGACUGGAAUUCCUGGUGUAGCGGUGAAAUGCGCAGAUAUCAGGAGGAACACCGGUGGCGAAGGCGGGUCUCUGGGCCGUAACUGACGCUGAGGAGCGAAAGCGUGGGUAGCAAACAGG
rnacentral:rRNA from 1 species